UACGUAGGGGGCAAGCGUUGCUCGGAAUCACUGGGCGUAAAGCGCACGUAGGCGGCUUUCUAAGUCAGGGGUGAAAUCCUGGAGCUCAACUCCAGAACUGCCUUUGAUACUGGAGAGCUCGAGUCCGGAAGAGGUGAGUGGAACUGCGAGUGUAGAGGUGAAAUUCGUAGAUAUUCGCAAGAACACCAGUGGCGAAGGCGGCUCACUGGCCCGAUACUGACGCUGAGGUGCGAAAGCGUGGGGAGCAAACAGG
rnacentral:rRNA from 1 species